rnacentral:lncRNA from 1 species
GGGGACCGGGAGCCGGGAGGCAGGGCAGCUGUGGCUCCUGGGACCUGUGCGGGGGAGACGGCCGCUGAGACGGAGGGGGCUUCGGGCCCGGGAGGCUGAAUGCAGCCAUCCCCCACUCCCCAGCAGAUGCACGUAUUCAUUCAUUCUUUCAACAAAUACUCAUUUAUCAAGCCCUGUCUGUGCCAGGCACUGUGCUGGGCCAGAGGGCAGGUGGGGGAGGGUGUUGAAUGCAGCGACAGUCUUCAGAAAGUACUGGCAUGCUGGAUUUGAACCUGGCUCCAGCCUUCCUUUGGCAGUCUGGGCAAGCGAAUCUAUUCUCCAGGCCUCGUUUCCUUCUCUGUGAUAAGCCCUUGCAUAUAUUCAUGUCAUCGAAAGUGGCCAGUAUUUACUGAGCACCUACUAUGGGCUAGCUCUGUCCUUGGUACUGGAAGGACAGUGUCCAAAACAGAGGCCACUGCACCCUGUCCCAGGAGAUCACCAUCCACUGGCAGACAAACCAGCCAGUGGGGGUGCGGGACUGCUCUGAUGCAGGAAGUUGGAUGCUAUAGGAAUGCAGGAAGAGAGGGGCUCUGGGCUGAGCUCACACUGGGAGUUGGGGUGGUUCAUGAAGUCUUCUAGGAGGCGAGUGCUUCGGUGGAAACCUGCAGGAUGGAACAGCAUGACCACAUCCCAGAAACCUCACGUUGCACAGAAAAGGCAUGUUGCAGGUGUAUACCUGUGCUUGACUCUGUUUCUUGUAGGUUCCAUUCAUGCCAAACAUUGUUGGCAAGUGAGUGGGCGAACAGUUCCUUUUAUACUUAGCUGGGAUGAGCUAUGUACAAGCACAAGCCAGCAAUUCCAGGAAUUUCUCCUUAAGAGAGAUCAGAAACAUGCAAAAUUAUGUCUGUACCAGGUUACUUGCUAGUGUGGCACAUCUCUGCAAAUGGCUCAAAACAAUCUAGAUGCCCAUCCAGGAGGUGUGAGUGACAAAUCCAUGACUGAUCUAGCCAGUGGAGUCCUAGCCUUCAUAAACAGACUGAAGAUGCCCACUGUGUAAAGAUGUGGAAAGUAUCCAAGCAGUGAUGGGGGCAGCGGGCGGGCAGGGUGAAGAACAGCCUGGCCUGCUCUGUGCGCUCUGGCCGCGCUGAAGAACUGGAGGACCACAGAAGAAUCUGGCAACAAAGUCCUGUUCCCAGGACUGAAACUUAACUACACUACACUUCAUCCUUUUGUAAUUUCCGAGUUUGAAACCUUCGAAUGUGUUCUAUAUUAAAAAAAAAAGUAAAGGGGAAAUGAAUUAAGUGGGGAUACUGACAAUAAAAGGAAUAUUAUAAAGCUUAUUUAUAUUUUUUGGCCCUGGGGAUUGAACUCAGGGGGCACUUUACCACUGAGCUACAUCCCCAGUCCUUUUCAUUUAUUUUGAGACAAGGACUUGCUAAGUUGCCCAGACUGGCCUCAGACUUAGGAUCCUCCUGCCUCAGCCUCCCGAGUCUCAGGGAUUACAGGCAUGUGCCACUCUGCCUGGCUUAAUGAAAAUAGCUGAUUCUUCUAAGUGCUUUAAAAAUAUGAGCCCAGGGCUGGG